CUAAUUCAAAUUUGUUUGCAGUUUGAACGCGUGCCUACGUCAGUCGCUAAGGGCGCAGUUCCAAUUGCAUACAAAUUUGAGUUA
rnacentral:pre_miRNA from 1 species